UCUAAUCGAGUUAACUAGGAAUAUAGAAAUUAGGGUUCGUCGGAUUUGCGAAUUUAGGGUUUCGAAAAUUGGGGAAAACCUUUUAAUUCGUUGUUAAGUGUUUAACUAGGGCAAUUAGAGGAAUUUUUUGAGUGUGUGGCUGAUUGUAAAGCAUGAAUGUUGAAAGAAAUAAGUUAUGGUUCGUGGGAUUUGAGAAAUUUAGGUUUCGACAUUUGUGGAAAUUUGUUUAUUGGAUGUGAAGUCUAUAAUUAAGGGAACUGUAAGCAUAUUUGAGUGUCUGGUUCAUUCUCAGUCAUGAUUUGUGAUGGGAACUAGUCUUGUUCUCAGUUAUGAGUGUCUGGUUCAUUCUCAGUGAGGAUUGGUCGAUUCUUUACAUUAAUAUUAUGUUGGAUGCUACAUUGUAUUCAUGAAUUUGUUGUUGUUUGCAUGACAGUUAGGUUUUAAGACAUCUUUAUGUUUGAAAUGUGUAUUGAUUUGGUUAAUUUUGAUCUUGAAUUUCAAUGUUUCUUUUGUGUUUUAUGUAUGAGGUUUGUCUUCCCGGAGAGUGAUGAGUGGAGAUAUUGAUAGAGAAGUGAGAAGAGGAGUAUCCAAUCGAUAUGGAGAAAAGUAAAUCCAAUUUCAUUUUGAAUUUUAAUUAUUGUUGUCUAGUUGUGUGAAGUAAUAUUGUGAAGCUGUUAUUAUUAGUGUUAAUAUUAGGUGAACCUUUUGUUGAGUUUAGAGAAAAGGCAAAAAACAGUUGAGUGUCAUUGUCAAAUACUUGAAACUCGUUUGUGUUCAAUGCUUGUAUGUUGUUCAUUAGGUCUAGGUUUGAGUGUCUGGUUCAUUCUCAGUCAUGAUUGGUGAUUGCAACUACUCUUGUUUGGUGAUGGGAACUACUCUUGUUCUAGUUCAUUCUCAAUUAUGAGUGUCUGGUUCAUUCUCAGUCAUGAGUGGUCGAUUGUUUACAUUAAUAUUCUGUUGGAUGCCACAUUGUAUCCAUGAAUUUGUUGCUGUUUGCAUGACAAUUAGGUUUUUUUGGCAUGUUUAUGUUUGAAAUGUUAAUUGAUUUGGUUGAUUUUUAUCUUGAAUUUCAAUGUUUCUUCUCUGUUUUAUGUGUGAGGUUGGUGAUCAUUGGACAUUAGAAAUCAAGCGCGGAGAUAUUAUCAGAGAAGUGAGAAGAGGAGUAUCAACAAUCGAUAUUGAGAUUCACGGAUUCACUUCUCAACUUGCGAGGAUAGCCACAACAUUUCUCUUGAUUCGGACAGUACAAAACACCACAAGACUUGUGUUGCAGAUUCACGGAUUCACUACACAACAAAUUAGGAUUUUGAUAGCUUUGCUAUAUAAAUAAUCAUGUACUCUAUGUUUUAGUCAUCUCUAUGUUUUAGUCAUUCUGAUUUCUCAUUUCUUCUUCUUCUAUCUCAAAUCUCAAAGUAAUAUUCUUCUUA